rnacentral:sRNA from 1 species
CCGCGCCCGCUACCUGAAGGUCAAGGCUUUCAGGUCUGUGCGAAUUGAAUCUGGUCGUGCCGCUGGCCUUCGUGCCACCGCCAUGUGCACACACGGAUACCGACGGUCUAAAGCGUCCGAGCAGGUCCGGCACAGUUCCCCCGAUGAGAAAUCGUCGGGGCGACGUAGAUAGCACGACCGGUCG